rnacentral:rRNA from 1 species
AUUAGCCAUGCAUGUCUAAGUACAAACUAAUUAAAGUGAAACCGCAAAAGGCUCAUUAUAUCAGUUAUGGUUCCUUAGAUUGUUAACAGUUACUUGGAUAACUGUGGUAAUUCUAGAGCUAAUACAUGCAUUAUAAACACGGACCUUUGGGACGUGUGCUUUUAUUAGGCUAAAACCAAGCGAUCGCAAGAUCGUUUUUAUGGUUGAACUCUAGAUAACUUGCAGAUCGCAUGGUCUUGUACCGGCGACAGAUCUUUCAAAUGUCUGCCCUAUCAACUUUUGAUGGUAGUAUUUAGGACUACCAUGGUUGCAACGGGUAACGGGGAAUCAGGGUUCGAUUCCGGAGAGGGAGCCUGAGAAACGGCUACCACAUCUAAGGAAGGCAGCAGGCGCGUAAAUUACCCACUCCCAGCCCGGGGAGGUAGUGACGAAAAAUAACAAUACAGGACUCAUAUUAGAGGCCCUGUAAUUGGAAUGAGUACACUUUAAAUCCUUUAACAAGGACCUAUUGGAGGGCAAGUCUGGUGCCAGCAGCCGCGGUAACUCCAGCUCCAAUAGCGUAUAUUAAAGUUGUUGCGGUUAAAACGUUCGUAGUUGAACUUGUGCUUCAUACGGGUAGUACAACUAUAAUUGUAGUUUGUACUGUACCUUAUGUAUGUAAGCGUAUUACCGGUGGAGUUCUUAUAUGCGUUUAAUACUUGUAUUUUUCGCAUAUUCCUCCUAUUUAAACCUGCUUCAGUGCUCUUCAUCGAGUGUUGUUGUGGGCCGGUACAAUUACUUUGAACAAAUUAGAGUGCUUAAAGCAGGCUCCAAAUGCCUGAAUAUUUUGUGCAUGGAAUAAUGAAAUAAGACCCCUGUUCUACUUUCAUUGGUUUUUAGAUCAAGAGGUAAUGAUUAAUAGAAGCAGUUUGGGGGCAUUAGUAUUACGACGCGAGAGGUGAAAUUCUUGGACCGUCGUAAGACUAACUUAAGCGAAAGCAUUUGCCAAAGAUGUUUUCAUUAAUCAAGAACGAAAGUUAGAGGU